CAAUUUUUGAAAAAUGUACACAAACAAAAUGGCCUCCACAGCAUGUCAUAUAUGACCUAUAUAUGACCUGUCAUAUAUAGCAGCUCACCAUAGACCUCUACAAAUUGGCAAUGGUUUAUGAAUAUUACAUUUCUUUCAAAUUUAAAAUGGCCACCGACCUUUGUGACUUUCAACCCCUUACGGCCUUUGGCAUUUAUGUUAUUCAGUAAUCAUAUGUUUAGCAAGUUGUGUUAUAGUUCAGUAGUGGAAUAAAUGCCCACCAAUGCAAAUGAAAGACAUCUUUAAUGUAAUUAACAUGCGGAAGCCAUCUACAAUUUUACAUCUUCUUGCUUUGAACAACUGUAGUAGAGGACCUUGUCAUGAAGAUGUGUGCC